rnacentral:lncRNA from 1 species
CUGGACUCUGGGAAAACCACCAGGUGCACCCACAUGAAGUGGGGGUUUGUUUGGCCUCCCCAGGAUGGACUGGAGCAUCAGUAGUGCCUGAGUUCAUCAAAGGACAGAUGCUCAAGACACCCUGAUCACCGUUAGGUGGAAUUGAAGGAGCCAAAAAUGGGCGCAGUGGCUCCUCAGCAGAGACGCUCCUGAAUGUAUAGACAUGGGAACCACCUUCAGCGUCAAAAAAGGAAACGUUCUGCAUGCCCAUAUCCAGAAAAAUCCCCACUCGCUGUAACUUGCGGUCUACGAAGAGGAAAGUCAGCGGCACCGUGCUGGCAGAGAGGCGGCUUCCAUCCCUCAAACUCACAGUCCAGAAUCCACGCUCUGUGGUCAGCUGGAUCCUCCCUUUGCGGUGAACAGAUUCUCUGCAGACUCCCAGGUCCCAUUCUGUGCUUGUUCCCACGUCCACCUCCCAGUAGUGGCGGCCACAGGUAAAGUGAGGGGAGCCCAGGAUGCAAACGGACAGGUCAAAUCUCCCGGCAAGGUCUUGCCGAUUCUGUCUGAUGUGCCCACUUCGGACGCUCCUGAGGUCGUCAGAAAUGAGGAGGAAGUUGUUGGCUGUGUCGGCAUCCAAGGUCAUAUCCAC